rnacentral:rRNA from 1 species
AGGCCUAACACAUGCAAGUCGAGCGGUAGCACAGAGAGCUUGCUCUCGGGUGACGAGCGGCGGACGGGUGAGUAAUGUCUGGGAAACUGCCUGAUGGAGGGGGAUAACUACUGGAAACGGUAGCUAAUACCGCAUAACGUCGCAAGACCAAAGUGGGGGACCUUCGGGCCUCAUGCCAUCAGAUGUGCCCAGAUGGGAUUAGCUAGUAGGUGAGGUAAUGGCUCACCUAGGCGACGAUCCCUAGCUGGUCUGAGAGGAUGACCAGCCACACUGGAACUGAGACACGGUCCAGACUCCUACGGGAGGCAGCAGUGGGGAAUAUUGCACAAUGGGCGCAAGCCUGAUGCAGCCAUGCCGCGUGUAUGAAGAAGGCCUUCGGGUUGUAAAGUACUUUCAGCGGGGAGGAAGGCGAUAAGGUUAAUAACCUUGUCGAUUGACGUUACCCGCAGAAGAAGCACCGGCUAACUCCGUGCCAGCAGCCGCGGUAAU